UACGGGGGGGGCAAGCGUUGUUCGGAAUUACUGGGCGUAAAGCGUGCGUAGACGGUUAUGUAAGUCGGGUGUGAAAGCCCCGGGCUCAACCUGGGAAUUGCAUUUGAGACUGAAUAGCUAGGGUGCGGAAGAGGGAAGCGGAAUUUCCGGUGUAGCGGUGAAAUGCGUAGAUAUCGGAAGGAACACCAGUGGCGAAAGCGGCUUCCUGGUCCAGCACCGACGUCAGGCACGAAAGCGUGGGGAGCAAACAGG
rnacentral:rRNA from 1 species